CAAUAGCGUAUAUUAAAGUUGUUGCAGUUAAAAAGCUCGUAGUUGAAUUUUUGCUUGCCGCCGAUGUCGGAACUUCCGUACGUUCGGCGGCGUGCAUCCUUGGGUGGAACCUGUGUGGCAUUAGGUUGUCGUGCAGGGGAUGCUCAUUGUUUACUGUGAAAAAAUUAGAGUGUUCAAAGCAGGCUUACGCCGUUGAAUAUAUUAGCAUGGAAUAAUAAGAUAGGACCUUGGUACUAUUUUGUUGGUUUGCGCACCGAGGUAAUGAUUAACAGGGACAGUUGGGGGUAUUCGUAUUCCAUUGUCAGAGGUGAAAUUCUUGGAUUUCUGGAAGACGAACUACUGCGAAAGCAUUUACCAAGGAUGUUUUCAUUAA
rnacentral:rRNA from 1 species